UUAGAAGGGCUUGAUGAGAAUUUUCCACUCAAUCUCUCUUUUUACGGAACUGGUUUAUUGUAACUUGUAUGCAACAAUUAUGCACUAAGUGAGGGUAAUGCUAUAGACCAUAGCAAAAAACUUAAAUCUCCUAUUUUCACACCAGAUUUUCCCAAGGCAAAAUCUUGGUCAUAUCAUUGAGCUGUCCUGUGAGUGACACAAAUCUGAGCUCAGGGCUUGGCCCUCCCUCUUGGUGUUUCCCCUCCCCCAUGCGGUCUCAAGUUCAAGAACUCUCCUCACUGCCUCUGCCUCCUCCCAUUCUCUCUUGGUCAGAAGGUCAUUUCCUACCAGCCCAGCAGCCUCUCCACGCAGAGUCCUGGAGGCAAUACGGAUUACUUUAAUCUCAAAACUUGCUGCUGUGAUGUGAUAGAAUUUUUUAUUCAUAACAUAAUGUGUGCAUAUUAGCAGUGUGAUGUGUACAUCCCAUAACCUAGUUCUUAAUGUCUAUCUUCGAACUUCCUGAAUGGGAAACUUUGCUGGCAUCUUAAUAUAGCUUUUUAAAAAAUACUGAACAUAUAAAAUUUAUCAUUGUUGUUUAUCCUUUACUUGACACUGUAUUCAGUAGUCGAAACUUUGUACAGCAGUCAUUAACGACGUCAUUCUAGUAAAGGAAGUAAAGGGAAAUUGCAUGAGGAAGAAAAGAACACAAGAAAAAAAUUUCCAAAAGGCAAAUAUGCUAGGAAAUGAGCUUAAUAGUUUUAUUUUUCAAGUUCUAAACACAAAAAUACUACUCCUUGCCUGCUAGCUCAAUUUUAGCUCAUCUGUGUCUCAACCCCAUCGUGUUUAUGUGGCUUUAGCCUUCUAUAUAUCUUAAGGUUGGUUCGAGGUGGCUCAAGAGAGCUUUAAGAUUCUGUGCUCCUUUUGAAAUUGUUUGCAAGAUCUGUAUUGCUGAAGCAAAGAUCCUGGUUUCUGUAUAAUGUUAAGCAUAGAAAACUAUUAGAAAGUAUUUCAGAAAAGAAAAAAUAAAAGGGUCCUUGGACCUGUCAUUUAUUUUUAAUUGGAAUUGAAUUAAAUAAGUGGUUAACUUCACAAAACUAAACAGUGCUGUCAUUCACUAUCUAUUUUCCCUCUUUAAGAGUCAAAAGGAGGCCCUGGAUCUGGCGAGAAAAUCUUCAUGCUAAUUAAACCUCACAGUUUGUUUUACCUGGGCCUCAUCUGCACAGCUACCAGAAGCUUCCAUGGCCCAGCAGUUUCAACCAAAUAGUUCAGGAGCCAGUGUUCAGCCUUUGCAAUGGUAGGCCUCCAGUGAUUUCAGCCGUCAAGUGUCGCUGAUCCCCAGAUUCCUACAAAGGAGAUUUGCAAAGCUUGUAGUCUUUCCUUCCUAAUUUAAUUUAAGCUGCACUUGUAGUAGAGAUGCAUCAUCCAUAUGGAUAGCAGCAACUAAGAAGAAUGAAGUCAGUCAAAUAUGAAGUGUAAAGCAAUUUCAUUUCUUAUAAAACUACAAGAUAGAACAAAGCAUCCACAUCCGUUGCCAGCUGUCUUUGGAAAACUGCUCUGUUUGCUCAUGCGCAGAAAAAAGCCAAGCCCGAGACGGUAUUGACAAGAACAAGAUGAAUGACCCCCUGGAGACCAUAGGGAGGAGUACAGCGACCUUCAGUGCUGCCAGAAGAAAAGUAUUUGGCACAUCGUUGUAAAAGUAGGACGCACAGCAGAAAAACUUAGCCAACUUCAUCUCUGCCCCAUUCCCAGUUUCACAUUCCCAAGGAAGAAUUUAGCCCCAAUCACGUGUGAGAAUAAUCAGCCAUGGUGUAGGCAUGGCAGCUGUGAGCUGGAGAAGUCACCCCAACUGGGGUCUGCGACAGGUGGGCAGGGGGUGGCCAAAGGGUGCAAGGCCUCGGUGGCUGGACUAGGGUUGGGUGGGGCCCGAGAGCAGGAGCAAAGAAGCAGACUUGGGGGUGGCCUAGCUCAGAGCAGUGGAUUUCAAACCAUUUUGUCUAAGGAUCUCUUUACAUGCUUAAAAUUUAUUGAGAAUCCCAAAGAGACGCAAGUGGCCUAUAUCAAUCAAUAUU